AAAUUACUGGGCGUAAGCGCGCGUAGGUGGUUUAUUAAGUGGAUGUGAAAUCCCCGGGCUCAACCUGGGAACUGCAUCCAAAACUGAUUCACUAGAGUACGAAUAGAGGGAGGUAGAAUUCACAGUGUAGCGGUGGAAUGCGUAGAAUAUUGUGAAGAAUACCAAUGGCGAAGGCAGCCUCCUGGAUCUGUACUGACACUGAAGGUGCGAAAGCGUGGGUAGCGAACAGGAUUAGAUACCCUGGUAGUCCACGCCGUAAACGACGUCAACUAGCUGUUGGGGAACUAUGUUCUUCAGUGGCGCAGCUAACGUAGUAAGUUGACCGCCUGGGGAGUACGGCCGCAAGGCUAAAACUCAAAUGAAUUGACGGGGACCCGCACAAGCGGUGGAGCAUGUGGUUUAAUUCGAUGCAACGCGAAAAACCUUACCUAUACUUGACAUACUUGGAAUGCUUUGUAAUGAAGCAGUGCCUUCGGGAGCCAAGAUACAGGUGCUGCAUGGCUGUCGUCAGCUCGUGUCGUGAGAUGUUCCGUUAAGUCGGAUAACGAGCGCAACCCUUACCCUUAUUUGCCAGCGAUUCGGUCGGGAACUAUAAGGGGACUGCCGGUGAUAAACCGGAGGAAGGUGAGGACGACGUCAAGUCAUCAUGGCCCUUACGUAUAGGGCUACACACGUGCUACAAUGGAGAAUACAGACGGACGCUAAGCCGCGAGGUGGUGCUAAUCCUAGAAAAUUCUUCGUAGUCCGGAUUGGAGUCUGCAACUCGACUCCAUGAAGUCGGAAUCGCUAGUAAUCGCGAAUCAGCAUGUCGCGGUGAAUACGUUCUCGGGUCUUGUACACACCGCCCGUCAUACCAUGGAAGUGGAUUGCACCAGAAGUAGAUAGUCUAACCUUCGGGAGGGCGUUUACCACGGUGUGCUUCAUGACUGGGGUAAAGUCGUAACAAGGUAGCCGUA
rnacentral:rRNA from 1 species